rnacentral:rRNA from 1 species
UGGGGAAUCUUGCGCAAUGGGCGAAAGCCUGACGCAGCAACGCCGCGUGAGGGAUGACGGCCUUCGGUUGUAAACCUCUUUCAGCAGGGACGAAGCGCAAGUGACGGUACCUGCAGAAGAAGCACCGGCCAACUACGUGCCAGCAGCCGCGGUAAUACGUAGGGUGCGAGCGUUGUCCGGAAUUAUUGGGCGUAAAGCGCGUGUAGGCGGCCGUUUAAGUCCGAUGUGAAAGCCCUGGGCUUAACCCAGGAAGUGCAUUGGAAACUGGACGGCUUGAGUACGGGAGAGGGAGGUGGAAUUCCGAGUGUAGGGGUGAAAUCCGUAGAUAUCCGGAGGAACACCAGUGGCGAAAGCGGCCUUCUGGACUGCAUCUGACGCUCAGACGCGAAAGCUAGGGGAGCAAACGGGAUUAGAGACCCCGGUAGUCCUAGCUGUAAACGAUGUGAACUUGGCGCUGGUUGGGUAAACCCGAUCAGUGCCGGAGCAAACGCGAUAAGUUCACC